rnacentral:lncRNA from 10 species
UUUCACAUGGCGGUCACCGUAUUACUACAACCCAAGCUGGCUCUGCAGUUUUGCUGACAGAAGAAAAUGAUCGGGUUGAUAUAUAAUGGGUGCUAUUUCCCUUAAACUUCACAGCAGCAAGUUUAAAGCUCUCAGCUGAAAAUACAGAUUUGAUGAUAGGGUAUUAGAUCGCUAAUGUUGGAAGUCACUUAGGACUUUUAGUCCUUUUUCAAAUGAUUGGAAACACAGGGAAAGUUAUUUGUCAAAAAUCACACAGCUAAUACAGAUUUUAAGAUCACGUCUAUUCCACUACUACUACGUUAGACUAAUAUGUAAUAUUUAAUAAAAUAUGUAAUAUUUCAUAGAAAUAUAUGAGAUUUUCAAAGUAAAAGAAGUUGCUAAUUGGAAAGUUCACCUGAGCAUGCUAUGUAUGAAAUUGGUAAACGUUUAAUAUUUCUCUUUAUAAGGAACAGGCAAUUAAGGCUAAAAAAUGUUUUGAGUUCAUGUGUUUUCACUACACAAUCAACAAGUCGUGUAACGUCAGAAAAGACAGAGUUAUAUUACCCUAAAGGGAAUGAAUAAAAAAGAGGUGCCUGAGAAAAAGCCAAGCCUCCUGUUCCAACAGGAUGCAGACAGAAACAAGUUCAUUUAUCACUCACAUUGCACCUGAAGCAAAUUGCAGCUAGAUCCAAGGAGCACCUCCUAAGCAUUUGGCAUGGGAAGCAUUGGGAUUAAGUCAUGAGCAUAACCUUAAAUCCAAUCCUAACCCCUAAAUUACUACCUUAACAAGCAGAACAGUGACUUUCAGCUGAUGUCCACAUACUCCCUUGAGACUUGAAAUCACAAACAAAUAUCCAUGUGUACACGCACAUUCAUUUUUGUAACGCAUCCUUGUUCUUAAUGGCAUGUUGCAAAAUUUACAACAGUAAAUAUGUAAUCAAUGUGUUCAUGUUUAUUACAAGGAGCAUAGUAAAUUAAUAAACACUCAUAAACUUCUUUUCAAAUAUAAAGUCAGGUUCUAUUAUGGGAUUUCUGCCAAAAGUACAAUAUGUGGUUCAGAAAAUAAUGUGAAGUAUUAUUUGUCCUUUGGAGUUCCUUUUCCUAAUAAAUAUGACAACCACAUCUGAUUCUGAUGUGAAAUAAAAUGGCACAAUUAUGAUAAUGUGCGGGAGAAAAAAAUG